GGUUUAGGGAGUUAAACUCACCGGAUUAGCGAGCCGAGUGGACCAAAACGACGGGGACGCCGAGGAGAACAACUUUCCUCAAAGCGGGCCGAGCAUUCGAGCUCGGGAAGGCGGCCAAAACGGGCCAAACGUCCGCUGCAUACCCAUUUUCGCAGCUACUGAUUUGGGGCUGGAGGAGGCGGAUCCGGCGCCGGUUGAGGCGCACAAGGGCCGAGAUGGGCCGAGGGACUUCCGGCGAGCUGAGGCGGGGGCGCACGGCGGCUCACGGCGGCGGGGAC
rnacentral:lncRNA from 1 species